GCCGUAGGGGGCAAGCGUUGUCCGGACUUAUUGGGCGUAAAGAGCUCGUAGGCGGUUUGUUGCGUCUGCUGUGAAAGUUCGGGGCUCAACCCCGGAACGGCAGUGGGUACGGGCAGACUAGAGUGCGGUAGAGGAGACUGGAAUUGCUGGUGUAGCGGUGGAAUGCGCAGAUAUCAGGAGGAACACCAGUGGCGAAGGCGGGUCUCUGGGCAGCAACUGGCGCUGAGGAGCGAAAGCGUGGGGAGCGAACAGG
rnacentral:rRNA from 1 species